rnacentral:rRNA from 1 species
GAUGAACGCUGGCGGCGUGCCUAAUACAUGCAAGUCGAGCGAAUGGAUUAAGAGCUUGCUCUUAUGAAGUUAGCGGCGGACGGGUGAGUAACACGUGGGUAACCUGCCCAUAAGACUGGGAUAACUCCGGGAAACCGGGGCUAAUACCGGAUAACAUUUUGAACCGCAUGGUUCGAAAUUGAAAGGCGGCUUCGGCUGUCACUUAUGGAUGGACCCGCGUCGCAUUAGCUAGUUGGUGAGGUAACGGCUCACCAAGGCAACGAUGCGUAGCCGACCUGAGAGGGUGGUCGGCCACCCUGGGACUGAGACAAGGCCCAGACUCCUACGGGAGGCAGCAGGAGGGAAUCUUCCGCAAUGGACGAAAGUCUGACGGAGCAACGCCGCGUGAGUGAUGAAGGCUUUCGGGUCGUAAAACUCUGUUGUUAGGGAAGAACAAGUGCUAGUUGAAUAAGCUGGCACCUUGACGGUACCUAACCAGAAAGCCACGGCUAACUACGUGCCAGCCGCCGCAGUAA